GCCUGGGAGCGAGGAUGACCCGAUUGCUACCCGAAGAGUCCUCGAUCGGCUUAGUCGGCAUUGCUCGUAAACGAACCGUGCUUCGGAAGAACGUCUCAUAUUACAUCACGUCUCAAACUUUCUGCUGGCUGUCGUAAAUAUGGUUUGGGAAACUUGUUUUAGCGUAAAAAUUUAAUAUAUAUCCGUGUGGAAUAGUCCAAAUAUAGAUAUAAAUGGGAUAUGUGGUUAAGCUGUGGUUAAGCUGUGUUCAUGUGGUCUAUUAAAGAAUGGUUUUAAAGAAAUUGUCGGUUGAUGCCCACAUCACCUGCUUGGGUUGAAGUGAACCAAGCCAAAAAUGAAUAAAAAUGGGCAAAUAUUCUGUUGGCAGCCAUUGAGUUAGAAACACACUAGGAAUCAUCAGUCUUCGGCUGGCAAGGGAAAUAAAGACAAACAAUUUGAUCUGGCUAAAUGAUAAAAGAAUGUGUAAGGCAGAACAGCAAAGAUAGUGAAAAGGAAAGCUAUGUGCAAACAGAUGAAGGAUGAAAUCAUGAAAAAAUGCCAUGGAAAGGAAAAAUAAUAAUUGAACUUGAUAAGUGUUCUUCUCUAAAUGUUAGCCAAAUUGUUUUUUUUAAUUGUGUAUUUUAAUUGUGUAUGUAAAUAUGUGUAUGUAUUUAAUAUGAUUAACUUUUGUAUUUAGAUUUUUAUUGUAUAAAACCUCUUAAGUUUUAAUCCAAUAAAUGUUCAAUCCAUACAUUGAAAUUCACUCAUGCAGCCAUUUUAUUAUCUUCUGACUAUUUCAUAUGUGAAACAUUUCAUUUUUGAAAUCAUUUCAUAUAUGAAAUAUUCUUGGGUAAAAAUCAUAUAUAUGAAAUGAUUUCACAUGUGAAACUAUUUCACAUGUGAAAUUUUCAUAUAUGAAGUGUUUCAAUUCCACACAAGGUUUCAUAUAUGAAAUAUUUCACAUAUGAAACAAUUUCACAUGUGAAAUUUUCAUAUAUGAAACAAUUUCACAUGUGAAAUUUUCAUAUAUGAAACAAUUUCACAUGUGAAAUUUUCAUAUAUGAAGUGUUUCAAUUCCACAUAAGGUUUCAUAUAUGAAAUAUUUCAUAUGUGAAAUGGUUAUGUGAAAUUUUUGUA